AUCGCUUCUCGGCCCUUUUGGCUAAGAUCAAGUGUAGUAUCUGUUCUUAUCAGUUUAAUAUCUGAUACGUCCCCCAUCGGGGGACUACAUAUUAAAUGGAUUUUUCGAACAGGGAGUCGGAAAUGGGGCUUGCUCCGUCCGCUCCACGCAUCGACCCGGUAUUGCAGUACCUCCGGGAACGGUGCAACACUU
rnacentral:snRNA from 1 species